AAAGAAGCAGCCAAUACUUUAGCCGCCGCACACUAUGCCGCCACCGAGAAGUCCAUCAAGAAGGCCGAAACCACCAAGACACCUGCAAAGGUCGUGGCUGCCAAGCGAGACGCAGCAAAGUCUGUUGAUGAUGCAUUAAAGUAUGGUGCCAUCUCUCGGAAAGCAGCUGGUACAAGUUCUUCUACCUCCCCCAAUAAGAAAGAAGGCACCACUGAUGCUGCUAAGAUGUUCACCAAGAAGGCUGAAACCGCUACCACACCUGAAGAGGCCGCGGCUGCCAAGCAAGCUGCAGCCAAGUCUACCGCUGCUGCAUCAAAGUAUGGUGUCAUUUCUCAGCAAGUAGCUGGUACAAGUUCUUCUACCUCCCCUAGCAGGAAAGAAGCUGCCGGUACCUUGGCAGAUGCUCGCAUAGCUGCUGCCGAGAAGUCCAUCAAGAAGGCUGAAACCGCCACAAGACCUGAAGAGGCAGCAUCCGCUAAGAAGGAUGCCACAAAAUCCGAGGCUGAUGCAAUGAAGUACGGGGCCAUCUCUCAGCAGGCCGCCGGCAAAAAUGGUGCCUAAGUGGUGCCUUAAACACCUAUUCACACGCAACAUCAUCUACAUACUACCAUGCAUGCAAAAUAGCAGCAUUCAGAUACCACAUUAUGCUAAUUCUCAUGCAUGCACACUUUGUUUAAACGUUCCCAUUACGAAUCAUGUAUUAAUGUCUUGCUUGUUUUAUUUUUAGUAGUAAGACAUGCUUGACUUGCUUUAAAAAAAAUACAACAAUCGAUGUAUACAUGUAUUAUCUAAAAAUCAGUAAUAUGAGUUCCACCGCAAUUUGUUUCUUUUUGUCAUAAUUUGGGUGCAAUCAAUGCACACAUCCAAUACACAAAAUUGGACGACUCAAUGUGUUGUGGCUCCAUGGAGCGGCGAAUCAUGUUUUAUUGUCUUGCUUGUUUUACUUUUAGUAGUAAUGUCUUGCUGGUCAAUGUAUUAUGGCUCCAUGGAGCGGCAUAAUGAUAUAUGAUAUAUCUUCACUACUUCAAAAAGAACUUAAGGUUUCGUCAUACAUCUUUCCUUCAUCCAUCCUCCCUACGAAUCCUUCCUGUUUUGAUUUUUUUCUCCCAUCUUUGAUUUUUCUCCCCAUUGAUUCUACCUAAAAACCACCUCAAUGUCACAUGUUUACUGUAUAUGUCAAGGCCUCCUUUGGUUCAUAGGGUAGAAAAAAACAUAGGAAUAGGAAAGUCAUAGGAAAUGAGAUGACAUGUAUCUCAAAUCCUAUGAUUGGGAAUAGGAAAGGAGAUGCCCUUUGAUUCACAUCAUAGGAUUUUUUCAUUGAAUCUAGGCUAAUGUUUAUUUUCCUAUGAAAUGUGAAGGAGAGGAAGAAUUCCUCCAUAGGAUUAGGAUUCCAUUCCUACAAACCAAAGGACUCUAAAGGAAUUUUUUCUAUAGAAAUCCUAUCCUAUGAAAUUCUUACAAGAUUCCUCCAAAUCAAAGGAGGCCCAAGUGGUUGUGAUGAGACAGUGGCUGGGCACUUCAGAUUUAUUCCCGUAACUGACUGUCAAAUUGAGUCAUCUGUCGUCCUUUCGAUGAUUGUAAGAAAGUUAUAUGUUUACUGUAUGUGCCAAUUGGUUGUGAUUAUCGUUACCGGCCACAAAGUUAUAUUUUCUUGUCUUAACGAAGGGUUGCAUACAAUGCGUGUAGCUCUUGACGCCUGAUAACCCACAAGUAUAGGGGAUCGCAACAGUUUUUGAGGGUAGAGUAUUCAACACAAAUUUAUAGAUUCGACACAAGGGGAGCCAAAGAAUAUUUGUAAGUAUUAACAGCUGAGUUAUCAAUUCAACCACACCUGGAGAUUAAUUAUCUGCAGCAAAGUGAUCAGUAGCAUAGUAGUAUGAUAGUUUUGAUAGUAGUAGCAACAUCAACAGUAACGGUAAUAGUGGUAGCAAUGGUUUUGUAGCAGUGACAAUAGUAACAGCAGCAGUAGUAACUUAGCAAGAACAAUAUGUACGAAAAUCGUACGCAUUGGAUCGGUGAUUUGUUGGAUGAUAUUCAUCAUGUGACAGUUACAACCUAGGACGAUACGGCACUAGCUCCAGUUCAUAAAUAUAAUGUAGGCAUGUAUUCUAUAAAUAAUCAUACGUGCUUAUGGAAAGAACUUGUAUGACAUCUUUUGUCCUACCCUCCUGUGGCAGCGGUGUCCUAUUGGAAACUAAGGGAUAUUAAGGCCUCCUUUUAAUAGAGAACCAGAACAAAGCAUUAACACACGGUGAAUACAUGAACUCCUCAAACUACGGUCAUCACAGGGAAGUGUCCCGACUAUUGUCACUCCGGGGUUGCCGGAUCAUAACACGUAGUAGGUAACUAUAACUUGCAAGAUUGGAUCUAGAACAUAGAUAUAAUGGUGAUAACAUAAGUCAUAGCAACAUCAAUCUCAGAACAUAAUGGAUACUCGGGAUGAAGCCCUAACAAAACUAACUCAAUUACAUGAUGAAUCUCAUCCAACUCCUCACCGACCAGCGAGCCUACGAAGGAAUUACUCACUCCUGGUGGGGAGCAUCAUGGAAUUGGCGAUGGAGAAGGGUUGGUGAUGACGAAGAUCGAAGACCCCCCUCUCUGGAGCCCCAAACGGACUCCAAAUCUAGCCUCCCGAUGAAGAACAGGAGAUGACGGCGGCUCUGUCUCGUGGAUCGUGAUAAUUCUUUCUUCCUGAUUUUUUCUGGAAAAAUAGGAUUUUAUAGCGUCGGAUUCAGGGCCUGCGGGGCCACCAGGUGGGGACAACCCACCUGGGUGUGCUUGGAGGGGGGGGGCCUGGUGGGUUGUGCCCAUCCAGGUGCCCCCCUCCGGUUGUUCUUGGCUCCAGAAAUUCUCUGUAUUUGUAUAAAAAUUCCUCGCAAAGUUUUGUUCCAAUCCGAAAACUUUUAUUUCUGCACAAAAAAAACACCAUGGUAGUUUUGUUGGAAACAGCGUCAGUCCGGGUUAGUUUCAUUCAAAUCAUGCAAAUUAGAGUGCAAAACAAGAGGAAAGUGUUAGGAAAAGUAGAUACGACGGAGAUGUAUCAACUCCUCCAAGCUUAAACCUUUGCUUGUCCUCAAGCAAUUCAGUUGAUAAACUGAAAGUGAAAAAAAAAUUACGAACUCUUUUGCUCUUGUUUUCAUAAAUAAGCUUAAACAUCACCCAGUGUCGAUGUCAAAACCGGCGGAUCUCGGAUAGGGGGUCCCGAACUGUGCGUCUAGGCGGAUGGUAACAGGAGACAAGGGACACGAUGUUUACCCAGGUUCGGGCCCUCUCGAUGGAGGUAAAACCCUACUCCUGCUUGAUUAAUAUUGAUGAUAUGGGCAGUACAAGAGUAGAUCUACCACGAGAUCAAGGAGGCUAAACCCUAGAAGGUAGCCUAUGGUAUGAUUGUUGUUGUCCUACAGACUAAAACUCUCUGGUUUAUAUAGACACCGGAGAGGGUUAGGGUUACACAGAGUCGGUUACAAUGGUAGGAGAUCUACAUAUCUGUAUCGCCAAGCUUGCCUUCCACGCCAAGGAAAGUCCCUUCCAGACACGGGAAGAAGUCUUCAAUCUUGUAUGUUCAUAGUCCGGGAGUCCGGCUGAAGGUAUCGUCCGGCUAUCCGGACACCCCCUAAUUCAGGACUCCCUUAGAGCCCCCGAACCAGGCUUCAAUGACGACGAGUCUGGCACGCAAAUUGUCUUCGGCAUUGCAAGGCGGGUUCUCCUUCAAUUUCUGUGUACCUGCUGAAUAAUGUCCGGUUUCUUAUAAAUGUAGCGCUCCUCGGCUUCCACGCCCAAUAAUGGCCGUCUUCCACGUGUCAAAUGAAUACGAAAAGUCUGGGUGUUUUUACAUUCACACCCCCAGCCGCGUAAAUGAGCCGCCUAUUUAAAGGGACGGGGAUUUAGAUCCAAACCACACCUUCUCCUCUCCGCGAGUUUCAUCAGAGCGCAUCCGACAAAGGACCGUUCCAUCAUGGCCAGCCGUCGCAGCUCCUCCUCUCGCCCUUCCAGCCCUCAUCCUGGAGAUUGGGAGAGAUGCUCCGUCCCGCACAGCGAGCUAGUGUCGCUUCGGACCAAAGGGAUUUCUUCCUCCGGCCUAUAUGGUCCCGGUUCGAGCCGGACUUGCCACCUAUAAUGGCGGAGAGCAAGUGGAGAGCGCCCCCAAUCCCUCCAAAGGAGAGCGGGUAUGCCUUGUCCCUUAUUUAAUAAGAGGGCUCGGAUUUCCAAUUCAUCCAUUUCUCCGGGGGCUCCUGGAGUUCUAUGGCCUCCAGCUGCACAACCUCACGCCUGUCUCCGUAUUGCAUAUUGCGGGCUUCGUAGCCCUUUGCGAGUUGUUUUUGGGUGUUGAGGCUCAUUUCGCGCUGUGGAAGAGGCUAUUCUGCCUUGUGCCCUGUUCUUAGGAGGGGUCAAUAUAUCAAGUGGGCGGAGCCAAAGUGUGGUGUAUCGCCGGGACCGGAUAUCUAUCCGGAACCCCAAAGAAGGCGUCUGAGGACUGGCCUUCAGAAUGGUUUUAUAUAGAGGACGUCCCGUUGCCGGAUCCUGUUCGGAUCGGCCUCCCUGAGUUCAACAGCGCUCCCCUAAAGAAAAACCUAAGCUGGCGCCCACGGAGCCCUCAGAGAGAAAGUGACAAGGACAUUCUUUACCUGAUGGGCCGGAUAAGAUUAUUAGCUCAUUCCGGACUAACCAUGAUCGGAGUCAUGGCUGCAUGCAUCAUGCGAGGGGUGCAACCGCUUCAGUACAGAGGCCACCCCAUGUGGGACUUCAACGGGGAGGAUGAUGCCACCCGUCACGGCCGUAAGGGGCCGGACUCGGCUACCGCUCUAGUAAAGAUCUUGUCCGCUUUGUACAAGGGAGAAGAGGAGGAAUUUCUCCGCGUCAACCCACAGGGUGGAUUUACCAUGUACAAUCCCCCAAGUUGGGUAAGUGGGCAAUUUUACUUGCACGUCUGUUUUGUAUUCCCAUCAUUAAAUAUAUAGUCUAACGACUUCAACGCAGGAACUGCGCCUGGAAGUAAAGGACAUAAAUAGCCCGCCUCCACAGCCCGAGGACCCAGAGUUGUCCCUCGAUCCGGCCUCCGAAGAGGAUCCGGACUUAUCCAUGGAGUUAAUUGAUGGGGUGUUUUAUCAAUUGAGCAAGGACAAUGCCUUGGUGGCCAUUAAGGCCGAUUACCCGGGGCUGCUCCCGGCCUCCCAGGUAACUGAGACCGAAGUCCUAGCACCUCAAAAAGGGAUCCGCCCUCGCGUGUUUUUCAGUUUCCUGACAACAACCGUGUUUUGCAGGGGAGGUUCUUGAGACGGGAGGCCGAGCCUGCGGCGACUAGCCAACGAGGGGCUACAGGGCCCCGUGGGAUGAAAAGAAGUGCAGUCCGGAUUGAGGCGCCGGCGCAGAGGUAUAGCACGCCUUCUUAUUCCCAGGUGUUAUUCCUUCAAGGCAUAUUAACACUCGUGCUCUUUUCAGGACAAAAAGACCCCGCCGGACUAUAUCUGGAGAGGCUGCCAAUCGCGCCUCCACCAGCCAGGCUCCAAAGCCUGGUCCGGAGACGGAGGCGAACACGAGGCGCGCACCGGACGCUCCUCCAACAGAGGAUGCGGACAGGCUGUCCGCCACUAAUUCCGAGGUGGAGAGUGCCAUGAACCACAGGCGUCGCCGGACAGUUCUUCGCGACGCUUGUUUCUCCCAAGAGGCAUUGGACGCCUUCAAUUCGGGAGAUGCGUACCUCCGUGCCGCUCAAAAUGGUCUAGCCAGAGCCACGGAGCAAUAUGUAAAAGACAUACAGGUGAGAAAAUUUAAUGGUUAUAUAUAUCAGUAGCCCCCGAGACUUGAAACAGUUAGAAGAACUGAUUUAAGGAUCAUUCAUAAUGCAGGUUCUUGCGGAAAAGAAUACCCAACUGUCCCAGGAGCUAGAAGAGUGCAAAGCCCAACUUGAGGCCGCACUAGCCGCGACAGGGGAGCCCAAGGAGACCCCCUCUGGUAAUAUGUGCUUCAAAAAGAGAAGUAUUUUGUGAAGUGCGGCGUUUGUGCAAAUCUGACAAAUGAAAUUGCAGAUGGCGCCGGAUUAGAUCCGGAAAAGCAACAACUCCUACGCCAGCUAAAGGCUGGUGAGAGCGUGCUGACAAAGGUGAGGUGGGAGAAGAACGAUCUCCAAUAUGCCAACACCAAGCUGGGCGUUGAACUGAAAGAUGUUUGUGCCCAGCUGUCGGACUCCGCUAAGGAGAAUCAGCGGCUUCGACGCGGCAUAUUUAGUAAGUGCUUAAACGAACUUUGAAUAAAGAGUUCGACGAGGAAGUCGACUAACGGAGUAAUGUCUGUAGGUAUGCUAACAGGUCGUCCUGCAGAGGAGAUGCCCGGUUCUAUGGGUGACCUUCUUCCCGAGCUCUUGCAACUGCACGAGCGAGUUCGGCAGGUGAUGCAGGGCGUCGCCCAGGCCUUGUGGCCAUCCAUCUCCAUGCCCGAAGGACUUGGAGAGCUUGCAGAGAAGCUGAAGGGAGCGCGGCGGCGCUUCUGAUUGUGGAAGAUAUCGGCCUGCGUCAAGGCGCUAGGGAGGCAUGGGCCAUGGUGAAGACGCGGUACACGAAGGCUGACCCAAACCACAUGGCCGAGGUCGGACCUGUGGGGCCCGAUGGGAAGGAGAUCCCUGUAAGCUUCGUAUACGGCUAAGUAGAAUUGGCCGCAAAGUAUUCCCAGCAGGACUGUAAGCUAGACAGCCUGUUAGAUGGUAUUGAAGAGGAAUACAAUCAGUCAUAAUGACUAUGUAAUUUUAAUUGACAUGUGUAAUGCCUUCUAGCCAGAUUGUAGAUCAUUUUUCAUGGCCGACCUUUUUGCUUCGACCUCGGGACCUGCGGUCUGGAGUGUGUCCGAAUACCCUUGCGGUUAUAUAAGAACCGGGGUAUGCAUGGAGACUAGGCGUAGGGGUCAUUAGUGCUUGAACAGACAAGUGCCCGACUAGUUAUGUUAUAUUACAUGGUUAGUAAGAAACAUCUUCCAGGGAGAAUAGUUCCGUUAGGGGUUCCUUUCCCUGGGAGGCAUGCCCUAAAGUGCAUGUCCAUUCUGCGAAAAAGAGACGCAGGAAAAAACAUCUGGGGGCGCAUAGAUAAAUAAGUGAAAAAAUCAUCUUUAGUUCACCGACCGAAUAUUUCCUUAAGAACGCUAGCUUUCGGCUUCACCCAGUCUGAGGUACACAUCGGGCUGACCCGGCAGUAACAAUCGCAGAGGUGCUCCCUUUACCACCUAGCCGAACAAUCGGGAACAUAGGGGUAAGCACAGGAGCCAGGCAACCCAGCUUGGCCAAAAAUUAAGUCAUAUCGAUGCAUAUGAUGGUGAAUAAAAGGUACAUGCGGAAGUGUGACACAUGUGUUGGGCAUGAAGCCCGUAUAAGCUUCUGUUCAAAGAAGCCCCCAGGUUUAGUGAGCGUGGAUAGCGCGUCACUUGAUGAGCCUUUAAAGGCUAUAAGAGAAAGGAGGGGGAGAAGGAGAAAAUGGAAGACAGAAAAUAUAAAAAAUGGACAGAGGAAGGAGACGAACAUAGAGUCCGGCGCUAGGCAUAGAAUCUUCGGAGACGGGCUGCGUUCCAUGGGUUCGGUUCGAGUCGGUUAUCCGAUGCAUCUCGCAGGCGGUAUGCUCCACCAGUCAGGACUUGGUCAAUUAUGAAGGGACCUUCCCACUUGGGCUGGAGUUUGUCCUUUUUCUUGUCCGGCAGGCGUAGAACUAGUUCGCCAACAUUGUAAUUUUUGGCCCGUACUUCUCUGCUUUGAUAUCUUCGAGCCUGCUGUUGAUAGAAUGCGGAACGGGCUUUUGCCACGUCACGCUCCUCCUCCAAGGCAUCUAAACUGUCCUGCCGAUCGAGCUCGGCUUCUCUUUCUUCGUACAUGCGCACUCAAGGUGAGUCAUGAAUUAUAUCGCAGGGCAAAACUGCUUCUGCACCGUACACCAUGAAGAAUGGUGUGUAUCCGGUGGUGCGAUUCGACGUGGUCCGCAGCCCCCAGAGUACGGAGUCGAGCUCCUCUACCCAGUGCGUGUUAGAUUCCUUAAGGUACCGCACUAAUCUGGGUUUGAUGCCGCUCAUGAUAAGACCAUUUGCGUGUUCGACCUGUCCGUUAGUUUGUGGGUGAUAGACGGAAGCAUAAUCGAGCUUGAUGCCCAUGUUUUUGCACCAGAGUUUUACCUCAUCGACCGUAAAGUUCGUACCGUUAUCAGUGAUGAUGCUGUGGGGGACGCCGUAACGGUGUACGACCCCCGAUAUAAAGUCUAUCACCGGUCCGGAUUCGGCCGUCUUAAUAGGCUUGGCCUCUAUCCAUUUGGUGAACUUAUCCACCAUGACCAGUAAGUAUUUUUUCUUCUGGGUUCCGCCUUUAAGGGGUCCAACCAUGUCAAGCCCCCAGACCGCGAAGGGCCAAGUGAUGGGGAUAGUUUGGAGGGCGGUGGGUGGCAUAUGGCUUUGGUUUGGCAAAAGCUGGCAACCGACGCAUCGUUGGACUAAGUCCUGAGCGUCUGCCCGGGCCGUUGGCCAAUAAAAGCCUGUACGGAAAGUCUUGCUUACGAGGGACCGAGUUGCGGUGUGAUGACCAUCGAGUCCGGCAUGAAUUUCAGCCAGCAAGUUCCGCCCAUCCUCCUCGGAGAUGCACCUUUGAAGGACUCCGGUAGUGCUUUUCUUAUAAAGCUCUCCCUCAUGGACUUUAUAGGCUUUAGAUCGCCGCACUAUGCAGCGUGCCUCAUUUUGGUCUUCUGGGAGUUCCUGCCUAGUAAGGUAGGCUAGGAAUGGUUCUGUCCACGGGGCGAUGACCGCCAUUAUUACGUGGGCUGAAGAUGUGACUUCAUUGGCAGAAUCUCCAAUUAUGUCAGUGUUGGGUAACGUAGCAGAAAUUCAAAAUUUUCCUACGUGUCACCAAGAUCUAUCUAUGGAGAAACCAGCAACGAGGGGAAGGAGAGUGCAUCUACAUACCCUUGUAGAUCGCUAAGCGGAAGCGUUCAAGAGAACGGGGUUGAAGGAGUCGUACUCGUCGUGAUCCAAAUCACCGAUGAUCCUAGUGCCGAACGGACGGCACCUCCGCGUUCAACACACGUACAGCCCGGUGACGUAUCCCACGCCUUGAUCCAGCAAGGAGAGAGGGAGAGGUUGAGGAAGACUCCAUCCAGCAGCAGCACAACGGCGUGGUGGUGGUGGAGGAGCGUGGCAAUCCUGCAGGGCUUCGCCAAGCACCACGGGAGAGGAGGAAGGAGAGAUGCAGGGCUGCGUCAUAUAGAAGAGAGGAACUCGCGUCUUAUGAGCAGCCCAAACCUCAACUAUAUAUAGGGGAAGGGGAGAGGCUGCGGCCCCUUUAGGGUUUCCACCCCUAGGGGUGGCGGCCAGCCUAGAUCCCAUCUAAGGGAGGCGGCCAAGGGGGAGGGGGAGAGGGAGGCGCACCAGGAUGGGCCUUAGGGCCCAUCUGCCCUAGGGUUUGCCCCCUUCUCCUCUCCCUUGCACCUUGGGCCCUUGUGGGGGGGGGGGCGCACCAGCCCACCUGGGGCUGGUCCCCUUCCACACUUGGCCCAUGAAGCCCUCCGGGGCUGGUUUGCCCCACUUGGUGGACCCCCGGGACCCUCCCGGUGGUCCCGGUACGUCACCGAUAAACCCCGAAACUUUUCCGGUGACCAAAACAGGACUUCCCAUAUAUAAAUGUUUACCUCCGGACCAUUCCAGAACUCCUCGUGACGUCCGAGAUCUCAUCCGGGACUCCGAACAACAUUCGGUAACCACAUACAAACUUCCUUUAUAACCCCAGCGUCAUCGAACCUUAAGUGUGUAGACCCUACGGGUUUGGGAGACAUGCAGACAUGACCGAGACGUUCUCUGGUCAAUAACCAAUAGCGGGAUCUGGAUACCCAUGUUGGCUCCCACAUGUUCCACGAUGAUCUCAUCGGAUGAACCACGAUGUCAAGGACUUAAUCAAUCCCGUAUACAAUUCCCUUUGUCUAUCGGUACGAUACUCGCCCGAGAUUCGAUCGUCGGUAUCCCGAUACCUUGUUCAAUCUCAUUACCGGCAAGUCUCUUUACUCGUUCCGUAACACAUCAUCCCGUGAUCAACUCCUUGAUCACAUUGUGCACAUUAUGAUGAUGUCCUACCGAGUGGGCCCAGGGAUACCUCUCCGUCACACGGAGUGAUAAAUCCCAGUCUCGAUUCGUGCCAACCCAACAGACACUUUCAGAGAUACCCGUAGUGUACCUUUAUAGCCACCCAGUUACCUUGUGACGUUUGGCACACCCAAAGCACUCCUACGGUAACCGGGAGUUGCACAAUCUCAUGGUCUAAGGAAAUGAUACUUGACAUUAGAAAAGCUUUAGCAUACGAACUACACGAUCUAGUGCUAUGCUUAGGAUUGGGUCUUGUCCAUCACAUCAUUUUCCUAAUGAUGUGAUCCCGUUAUCAACGACAUCCAAUGUCCAUGGUCAGGAAACCGUAACCAUCUAUUGAUCAACGAGCUAGUCAACUAGAGGCUUACUAGGGACAUGGUGUUGUCUAUGUAUCCACACAUGUAUCUGAGUUUCCUAUCAAUAUAAUUCUAGCAUGGAUAAUAAACGAUUAUCAUGAACAAGGAAAUAUAAUAAUAAUCAAUUUAUUAUUUCCUCUAGGGCAUAUUUCCAACAGUCUCCCACUUGCACUAGAGUCAAUAAUCCAGUUCACAUCGUUAUGUGACUAACACUCAAGGUCACAUCCCCAUGUGACUAACACCCAAAGAGUUUACUAGAGUCAAUAAUCUAGUUCACAUUUACCAUGUGAUUAACACUCGAUGAGUUCUGGGUUUGAUCAUGUUAUGCUUGUGAGAGAGGUUAUAGUCAACGGGUCUGAACCUUUCAGAUCCGUGUGUGCUUUACAAAUCUCUAUGUCAUCUCCUAGAUGCAGCUACCACGCUCUAUUUGGAGCUAUUCCAAAUAACUGUUCUACUAUACGAAUCCAGUUUACUACUCAGAAUAAUCUGGAUUAGUGUCAAAGUUUGCAUCGGCGUAACCCUUUACGACGAACUCUUUUACCACCUCCAUAAUCGAGAAAAUUCCUUAGUCCACUAGUUACUAAGGAUAACUUUGAUCGCUGUCCUGUGAUCCAUUCUUGGAUCACUCUUGUACCCCUUGACUGACUCAUGGCAAGGCACACUUCAGGUGCGGUACAUAGCAUAGCAUACUGUAGAGCCUAUGUCUUAAGCAUAGGGGACGACCUUCGUUCUUUCUCUCUAUUCUGCCGUGGUCAAGCUUUAAGUCUUAACUUCAUACCUUACAACUCAGGCAAGAACUCCUUCUUUGACUGAUCCAUCUUGAACACCUUCAAGAUCAUGUCAAGGAAUGUGCUCAUUUGAAAGUACCAUUAAGUGUUUUGAUCUAUCCUUAUAGAUCUUGAUGCUCAAUGUUCAAAUAGCUUAAUCCAGGCUUUCCAUUGAAAAAACACUUUCCAAAUAACCCUAUAUGCUUUCCAGAAAUUCUACGUCAUUUCUGAUCAACAAUAUGUCAACAACAUAUAUUCAUCAGAAAUUCUAUAGUGCUCCCACUCACUUCUUUGGAAAUACAAGUUUCUCAUAAACUUCGUAUUCACCCAAAAUCUUUGAUCAUCUCAUCAAAGCAUACAUUCCAACUCGAGAUGCUUACUCCAGUACUUAGAAGGAUUGCUGGAGCUUUGCAUACUUAUUAGCAUAUUUCAGGAUUGACAAAACCUUCCGGUUGUAUCACAUACAACCUUUCCUCAAAAAUCAUCGAGGAAACAAUGUUUUGACAUCCUAUCUGCAAGAUUUCAUAAAUGAUGCAGUAAUUGCUAAUAUAAUUCCAACAGACUCUUAGCAUCGCUACGAGUGAGAAAGUCUCAUCGUAGUCAACUCCUUGAACUUGUCGGAAAACAUCUUAAUGACAAGUCGAGCUUUCUUAAUGGUGAUACUUACCAUCAUUGUCCGUCUUCCUUUUAAAAUCCAUAUGUACCUAACAGCCUUACGACCAUCAAGUUGUUCUUCCAAAGUCUACACUUUGUUUUCACAUAUGGAUCCUCUCUCGGAUUAUAUGGCCUUGAGCCAUUUUGGAAUCCAGGCCCACCAUUGCUCCUCCAUAGCUCGUAGGUUCAUUGUUGUCUAGCAACAUGACUUCCAAGACAGGAUUACGUACCAUUCUAAAGCAGUACACAUCCUUGUCAUCCCACGAGGUUUGGUAGUGACUUGAUCUGAAGUUUCAUGAUCACUAUCAUAAGCUUCCACUUCAAUUGGUGUAGGUGCCACAGGAACAACUCCCUGUGCCCUGCCACACACUAGUUGAAGAGAUGGUUCAAUAACCUCAUCAAGUCUCCACCAUCCUCCCACUCAAUUCUUUCGAGAGAAACUUUUCCUCGAGAAAGGACCCGAUUCUAGUAACAAUCCCUUAUUGCUUUCGAAUCUGAGACAGGAGGUAUACCCAACUGUUUUGGGUGUCCUAUGAAGAUGUAUUUAUCCGCUUUGGGUUCGAGCUUAUCGACCUGAAACUUUUUCACAUAAGCGUCGCAGCCCCAAACUUUUAAGAAAUGACAGCUUAGGUUUCUCUAAACCAUAGUUCAUACGGUGUCAUCUCAUCGGAAUUACGUGGUGCCCUAUUUAAAGUGAAUGUGGUUGUCUCUAAUGCCUAACCCAUAAACUAUUGUGGUAAUUCGAUAAGAGACAUCAUGGUAUGCAUCAUAUCCAAUAGGGUGCAGUUAUGAUGUUCGGACACACCAUCACACUAUGGUGUUCCAGGCUGUAUCAGUUGUGAAACAAUUUCCACAAUGUCUUAAUUCUGUGCCAAACUCGUAAUUCAGAUAUUCAUCUCUAUGAUCAUAUCAUAGAUAUUUUAUCCUCUUGUCACGAUGAUCUUUCAACUUCACCCUGAAAUUACUUGAACCUUUCAAUAAUUCAAACUCAUGAUUCAUCAAGUAAAUAUACUCAACAUCUACUCAAAUCAUCUGUGAAGUAAGAACAUAACGAUAUCCACUACAUUCCUCAGCACUCAUUGGACUGCACACAUCAAAAUGUAUUACUUCCAACAAGUUGCUUUCUAGUUCCAUUUUACUGAAACCGAGGCUUUCAGUCAUCUUGCCCAUGUGGUAUGAUUUGCAUGUCUCAAGUGAUUCAAAAUCAAGUGAGUCCAAAUGGUCCAUUUGCAUGGAGUUUCUUCAUGCAUAUACACCAAUAGACAUGGUUCGCAUGUCUCAAACUUUUCAAAAAUGAGUGAGCCCAAAGAUCCAUCAACAUGGAGCUUCUUCAUGCGUUUUAUACUGAUAUGACUUACGUGGCAGUGCCACAAGUAGGUGGUACUAUCAUUACUAUCUUAUAUCUUUUGGCAUGAACAUGUGUAUCACUACGAUCAAGAUUCAAUAAACCAUUCAUUUUAGGUGCAAGACCAUUGAAGGUAUUAUUCAAAUGAACAGAGUAACCAUUAUUCUCCUUAAAUGAAUAGCCGUAUCGCGAUAGACAUAAUCCAAUCAUGUCUAUGCUCAACGCAAACACCAAAUAACAAUUAUUUAGGUUUAACACCAAUCUCGAUGGUAGAGGGAGCGUGCGAUGCUUGAUCAUAUCAACAUUGGAAACACUUCCAACACAUAUCGUCAGCUCACCUUUAGCUAGUCUCCGUUUAUUCCGUAGCUUUUAUUUCAAGUUACUAACACUUAGCAACCGAACCGGUAUCUAAUACCCUGGUGCUACUAGGAGUACCAGUAAAGUACACAUUAACACAAUGUAUAUCCAAUAUACUUCUAUCGACCUUGCCAGCCUUCUCUUCUACCAAGUAUCUAGGGUAAUUCUGCUCCAGUGGCUGUUCCCCUUAUUACAGAAGCACUUAAUUAGUCUCGGGUUUGGGUUCAACCUUGGGUUUCUUCACUAGAGCAGCAGCUAAUUUGCCGUUUCAUGAAGUAUCCCUUCUUGCCCUUGCCCUUCUUGAAACUAGUGGUUUCACCAACCAUCAACAAUUGAUGCUCCUUCUUGAUUUCUACUUUUGUGGUGUCAAACAUCGCGAAUAUCUCAAGGAUCAUCAUAUAUGUCCCUGAUAUAUUAUAGUUCAUCACGAAGCUCUAGCAGCUUGGUGGUAAUGACUUCGGAGAAACAUCACUUUCUCAUCUGGAAGAUCAACUCCCACUCGAUUCAAAUGAUUGUUGUACUCAGACAAUCUGAGCACAAGCUCAACAAUUGAGCUUUUCUCCCUUAGUUUGCAGGCUAAGAAAAUUGUCGGAGGUCUUAUACCUCUUGACAUGGGCACGAGCCUGAAAUCCAAAUUUCAGCCCUCGAAACAUCUCAUAUGUUUUGCGACGUUUCAAAACGUCUUUGGUGCCUCAACUCUAAACCGUUUAACUGAACUAUCACGUAGUUAUGAAAAUGUGUAUGUCAGAUGUUCGCAACAUCCACAGACAACGUUCGAGGUUCAGCACACUGAGCGGUGCAUUAAGGACAUAAGCCUUCUAUGAAGCAAUGAGGACAAUCCUCAGUUUACGGACCUAGUCCGCAUAAUUGCUACUAUCAACUUUCAACUAUUUUUUUUUCUCUAGGAACAUAUCUAAACAGUAGAACUAAAGCGCGAGCUACGACAUAAUUUGCAAAAUCCUUUUGACUAUGUUCAGGAUAAACAAGUUCAUCUUAUGAACUUCCACUCAGAUAGAUAUCCCUCUAGUCAUCUAAGUGAUUACAUGAUCCGAGUCAACUAGGCCGUGUUCGAUCAUCACGUGAGACGGACUAGUCAUCAUCGGUGAACAUCUUCAUGUUGAUCGUAUCUACCAUACGACUCAUGCUCGACCUUUCGGUCUCUUGUGUUCCGAGGCCAUGUCUGUACAUGCUAGGCUCAUCAAGUCAACCUAAGUGUUUCGCGUGUGUAAAUCUGUCUUACACCCGUUGUAUGUGAACGUUAGAAUCUAUCACGCCCGAUCAUCACGUGGUGCUUCGAAACGACGAACUUUCGCAACGGUGCAUAGUUAGGGGGAACACUUUCUUGAAAUUUUAAUGAGGGAUCAUCUUAUUUACUACUGUCGUUCUAAGCAAAUAAGAUGUAUAAACAUGAUAAACAUCACAUGCAAUCAAAUAGUGAUAUGAUAUGGCCAAUAUCAUAGUGCUCCUUUUGAUCUCCAUCUUCGGGGCUCCAUGAUCAUCAUCACCGGCAUGACACCAUGAUCUCCAUCAUCAUGAUCUCCAUCAUCGUGUCUUCAUGAAGUUGUCUCGCCAACUAUUACUUCUACUACUACAGCUAACUGUUAGCAAUAAAGUGAAGUAAUUACAUGGCGUUGUUUAAUGACACGCAGGUCAUAUAAUAAAUUAAGACAACUCCUAUGGCUCCUGCCGGUUGUCAUACUCAUCGACAUGCAAGUCGUGAUUCCUAUUACAAGAACAUGAUCAAUCUCAUACAUCACAUAUCAUUCAUCACAUUCUUCUUGGCCAUAUCACAUCACAUAGCAUACCCUGCAAAAACAAGUUAGACGUCCUCUAAUUGUUGUUUGCAUGUUUUACGUGGCUGCUAUGGGUUUCUAGCAAGAACGUUUCUUACCUACGCAAAACCACAACGUGAUAUGCCAAUUGCUAUUUACCCUUCAUAAGGACCCUUUUCAUCGAAUCCGAUCCGUCUAAAGUGGGAGAGACAAACACCCGCCAGCCACCUUAUGCAACUAGUGCAUGUUUGUCGAUGGAACCGGUCUCACGUAAGCGUAUGUGUAAGGUUGGUCCGGGCCGCUUCAUCCCACAAUGCCGCCGAAUCAAGAUUGGACUAGUAACGGUAAGCAUAUUGAACAAAAUCAACGCCCACAACUACUUUGUGUUCUACUCGUGCAUAGAAUCUACGCAAUAGACCUAGCUCAUGAUGCCACUGUUGGGUAACGUAGCAGAAAUUCAAAAUUUUCCUAUGUGUCACCAAGAUCUAUCUAUGGAGAAACCAGCAACGAGGGGAAGGAGAGUGCAUCUACAUACCCUUGUAGAUCGCUAAGCAGAAGCGUUCAAGAGAACGUGGUUGAAGGAGUCGUACUCGUCAUGAUCCAAAUCACCGAUGAUCCUAGUGCCGAACGGAUGACACCUCUGCGUUCAACACACGUACAGCCCGGUGACGUAUCCCACGCCUUGAUCCAGCAAGGAGAGAGGGAGAGGUUGAGGAAGACUCCAUCCAGCAGCAGCACAACGGCGUGGUGGUGGUGGAGGAGCGUGGCAAUCCUGCAGGGCUUCGCCAAGCACCACGGGAGAGGAGGAAGGAGAGAUGCAGGGCUGCGUCAUAUAGAGGAGAGGAACUCGCGUCUUAUGAGCAGCCCAAACCUCAACUAUAUAUAGGGGAAGGGGAGGGGCUGCGACCCCUUUAGGGUUUCCACCCCUAGGGGUGGCGGCCAGCCUAGAUCCCAUCUAAGGGAGGCGGCCAAGGGGGAGGGGGAGAGGGAGGCGCACCAGGAUGGGCCUUAGGGCCCAUCUGCCCUAGGGUUUGCCCCCUUCUCCUCUCCCUUGCGCCUUGGGCCCUUGUGGGGGGGGGCGCACCAGCCCACCUGGGGCUGGUCCCCUUCCACACUUGGCCCAUGAAGCCCUCCGGGGCUGGUGGCCCCACUUGGUGGACCCCCGGGACCCUCCCGGUGGUCCCGGUACGUUACCGAUAAACCCCAAAACUUUUCCGGUGACCAAAAUAGGACUUCCCAUAUAUAAAUCUUUACCUCCGGACCAUUCCGGAACUCCUCGUGACGUUCGGGAUCUCAUUCGGGACUCCGAACAACAUUCGGUAACCACAUACAAACUUCCUUUAUAACCCCAGAGUCAUCGAACCUUAAGUGUGUAGACCCUACGGGUUCGGGAGACAUGCAGGCAUGACCGAGACGUUCUCCGGUCAAUAACCAACAGCGGGAUCUGGAUACCCAUGUUGGCUCCCACAUGUUCCACGAUGAUCUCAUCGGAUGAACCACGAUGUCAAGGACUUAAUCAAUCCCGUAUACAAUUCCCUUUGUCUAUCGGUAUGAUACUCGCCCGAGAUUCGAUCGUCGGUAUCCCGAUACCUUGUUCAAUCUCGUUACCGGCAAGUAUCUUUACUCGUUCCAUAACACAUCAUCCCGUGAUCAACUCCUUGAUCACAUUGUGCACAUUAUGAUGAUGUCCUACCGAGUGGGCCCAGAGAUACCUCUCCGUCACACGGAGUGACAAAUCCCAGUCUCGAUUCGUGCCAACCCAACAGACACUUUCGGAGAUACCCGUAGUGUACCUUUAUAGCCACCCAGUUACGUUGUGACGUUUGGCACACCCAAAGCACUCCUACGGUAACCGGGAGUUGCACAAUCUCAUGGUCUAAGGAAAUAUUGACAUUAGAAAAGCUUUAGCAUACGAACUACAUGAUCUAGUGCUAUGCUUAGGAUUGGAUCUUGUCCAUCACAUCAUUCUCCUAAUGAUGUGAUCCCGUUAUCAACGACAUCCAAUGUCCAUGGUCAGGAAACCGUAACCAUCUAUUGAUCAACGAGCUAGUCAACUAGAGGCUUACUAGGGACAUGGUGUUGUCUAUGUAUCCACACAUGUAUCUGAGUUUCCUAUCAAUACAAUUCUAGCAUGGAUAAUAAACGAUUAUCAUGAACAAGGAAAUAUAAUAAUAAUCAAUUUAUUAUUGCCUCUAGGGCAUAUUUCCAACAGUCAGAUUGUUCGGUGUUGGGCAGUGCGGUUGAGUCCGGGCUGUUAUUGCCGGGUUCCCCUUCCCAUACUACGGACGGCUUGAAUAGCCUUUCCAAGAAGAUGUUGGGAGGGACUGCAUCGCGUUUUGCGCCGAUGCGUGCCAGGACAUCCGCCGCCUGAUUAUUUUCCCGGGCUAUAUGGUGAAAUUCGAGCCCUUCGAACUGAGCUGACAUUUUUAAGACGAUGUUGCGAUAAGCUGCCAUUUUUGGAUCCUUGGCAUCGAAGUCUCUGUUUAUUUGGGACAUUGCGAGGUUCAAAUCCCCUCGCACUUCUAGGCGUUGAAUACCCAUGGAUACUGCCAUCCAGAGACCAUGUAAGAGGGCCUCGUAUUCGGCUGCAUUGUUGGAGUCUGUGUACAUAAUCUGGAGUACAUAUUGAACUGUGUCUCCUGUGGGGGACGUCAAAACGACGCCAGCCCCCAGACCGGCCAACAUUUUGGAGCCGUCGAAAUGCAUGAUCUAGUUUUAAUAUGUGCCGUACUCUUCAGGGAGUUCGGCCUCCGUCCAUUCUGUGACGAAGUCAGCCAAAACUUGCGACUUGAUAGCUCGCCGUGGCUUAUAAGUUAUGUCGAACGGGAGGAGCUCGAUGGCCCAUUUCGCAAUCCGGCCCGUUGCGUUGCGGUUCUUUAUAAUAUCGUUUAGUGGUACUUCUGAGGCUACUAUUAUUGAACACUCUUGAAAGUAGUGUCGCAGCUUCCGGGAUGCCAUGAAUACCGCGUACGCAAUCUUUUGAUAAUGUGGGUACCUUGAUUUGCACGGAGUGAGGACAGUGGACACAUAAUAGACCGGCUUCUGAAGGGGGAAUUUGUGUCCGUCGUUUCUCGUUCGACGACGAGCACUGCGCUCAGAACCUGAUGGGUUGCUGCAAUGUAUAAUAGCAUUGGUUCGCCAAUGUUUGGCGCGGCCAGGACUGGGUUUGUUGCCAAUAUGGCUUUUAUUUCGUCGAGUCCGGCCGUGGCUGCGUCCGUCCACUCGAAGUGUUCGGUGCGCCUAAGGAGGCGGUAAAGGGGGAGUGCCUUUUCUCCCAAGUGGGAGAUAAAGCGGCUUAGAGCCGCCACACAUCCGGUUUACUUUUGUAUUUGUUUGAGGUCCUUUGGGAUAUUCAAUUGUGACAGAGCUCGGAUCUUGGCUGGAUUUGCUUCAAUUCCUCUACCGAAUACAAUGAAGCCCAAGAGCUUUCCGGCUGGAACGCCGAAAACGCAUUUUUCUGGGUUGAGCUUGAUGUCGUAUGUUCGGAGGUUAUCAAAUGUGAGCCUCAAGUCAUCUACUAGGGAUUCGACAUGUCUUGUUUUUACGACCACAUCAUCUACAUAUGCCUCCACUGUUUUGCUGAUCUGGUUUGCCAGACAUGUCUGAAUCAUGCGCUGAUAUGUUGUUUUGAGCCCGAAGGGCAUUGUGUUGAAGCAGAAUGGGCCGUAUGGUGUGAUCAAUGUCGUUGCGGCUUGGUCUGAUUCUGCCAUCUUGAUUUGAUGGUAGCCGGAAUAUGCGUCGAGCAAGCACAACGAAUCGUGUCCUGCAGUAGCGUCGAUAAUUUGAUCCAUGCGGGGGAGGGGAAAGGGAUCCUUUGGGCAAGCCUUAUUAAGGUCUUUAAAAUCAACGCACAAGUGCCAGGAUUUGUCCUUCUUUGGUACCAUCACUAGGUUUGCUAGCCAGUCCGGAUGUUUUAUAUCUCUGAUGGAUCCGGCCUCUAAUAGCUUGGCUAGCUCCUCUCCCAUGGCCUGUCUCUUAGGUUCGGAAAAACGCCGAAGAGCCUGUUUGACAGGUUUGAAUCCUUUAGGAUAUUUAAGCUGUGUUCGGCCAGCCUGCGUGGGAUUCCUGGCAUGUCUGAAGGGUGCCAGGCGAAAAUGUCCUAGUUCUCACGUAGGAACUCUCGCAGUGCGGCGUCUACAUCAGGGUUUAAUUGUGCACCGAUGGAAGCUGUUUUAUUGGGGUCCGUUGGAUGGACCUGGAAUUUGACUAUUUUGUCCGCUGGUUUAAAUGAGAUGGACUUGGAUCUUUUGUCGAGUAUCACAUCAUCCCUGUUCACCGUGGAGCGCAGCGCAGUCAGCUCCUCAGCCGCUAGGGCUUAGGAUAGUGCCUCAAGGGCCAGUGCGGCUGUCUUAUUUUAGGCGCGGAGUGCUAUGUCCAGAUCACUAGCGAGAGUGAUGAUUCCGUUCGGCCCGGGCAUCUUGAGUUUCAUGUACCCAUAAUGGGGUAUUGCUUGGAAGAUUGUGAACGCUUCCCGCCCUAGCAGAGCGUGGUAUCCGCUACUGAACGGGACCACUUGGAACGUGACCUCCUCGGACCUGUAAUUAUCCGGCGUGCCGAACACCACAUCUAGUGUGAUUUUUCCUGUACAGCACGCUUCCUGACUGGGGAUUAUUCCUCUAAAGGUUGUGCUGCUUCGCUCAAUGCGGUUCCAGUCUAUUUCUAGUUUUUGAAGGGUUUCCUCAUAAAUGAGGUUCAAUCCGCUGCCUCCAUCCAUGAGUACCUUGGUAAGGCGAAAGCCAUCCACUAUUAGACUGAGGACCAAUGUGGCUGGUGCUCGGGCUGUUCGGAAUUUAGGUUCAUCACUGGCAUUAAAAGUAAUAGCCGUGUCACUCCAUGGGUUUAUUGUUGCUACUUGGUAGACUUCGACAAGGCUGCGGAGUGUUCUUUUUCGCAUAUUAUUUGAUGCGAAAGUCUCGAAGACUGUUAAUACCGUACCGGUAUCCCUGGGGUGGCUUUCUAUGGCCUCCGGAAUUAGGAGAUCUUCACCAAUUUUGGCCACCUGCCGGAGUAUCCAACAUGCUCUAAGGCUGUGAGUUGGUGUGGCGCCCUCUGUACUAUGAAUUUUACAGGGUCGAUUAAGCCAUCCUUCCAAUAUGCUUCCAUGCCCUGUAGAGGGUUUUUGCUUUUUGGUGUUUAACCGGGUGUCUGGCGAAGAUGCACCCUUUUAUUUCGGACUGGGUUUGUAUUCAGGGCCGGAUUGUCCCAAAAUUUUAUUUCGGUUUUCCAGGCGCUAUCCAUCGCACAGUACUUUCGUACUAUGGACACCAAGUCAGCGAAGCAUGUAAUAUCACGGCGACUUAUGGCGUUGAGGAUUCCCUUGUCCAUGCAAUUAUUGCAGAAGAAUGAGAUUGCGUCUUCCUCGCGGCAGUCCUUGAUCCUGUUCAUAGCCAGGAGGAAUCUGGCCCAGUAAUGAUGUACUGUUUCUUUGGGUUUUUGCCUAAUUUGGGAUAGAUCGCUUAUGUUCGGGUGGGUGGGUGGAAUUAAAUCCGAAACCUGACCCGAUCUGAGACUCAGAGGCCAAGGAGAUUCCGAACUCGGAAGUUUGGAUUCUUGGAUGUUGUCCAAUGAGUCUAGCCCGUCGCCUGACUCUAAGUUCAGGUCUUGAGUGAUGUCCUCCCCUCCGCGGGUAUCCGACUUGGAGGGAUCGGGAAUCCGGACAUAACUAGUCCUUAAGAUAGAUGAAGGGUCACCGCACUGUCCCUCUACCAUAGCAAUGUGAUGGGUGACCUGGGGAGAGUUAAUCUCUCUUAGAUCGGGUUUAGGCCCAAUCUGGUCAUAAUCCGUGGCAACUCCCAGGGCGGCGACGCGAUCCAAGAGCUCGUUUAUGGAAGAGAGCUCCAUUGUAUCUAACUGCUCGGCGAGUUCCGAGAUGACAUGAAGACUGCUUUUGAUGACCCGAGAGGUCAUCGUCGGCGCAGCAGCCGAACAGGCGGUCAUAAGAAAACCGCCUAGCCGGAGAGUUUGGCCGACAGCCAAAGCUCCCUUAGCAACGGUUCCGUCUUUAAAGACGGGAUGAGGCAUCCUUCCUGAUGGCGACGGCACAGAGGAACUCUCAAUGUAAGCACCAAUAUCGGUGUCAAAACCGGCGGAUCUCGGGUAGGGGGUCCCGAACUGUGCGUCUAGGCGGAUGGUAACAGGACACAAGGGACACGAUGUUUACCCAGGUUCGGGCCCUCUCGAUGGAGGUAAAACCCUACUCCUGCUUGAUUAAUAUUGAUGAUAUGGGUAGUACAAGAGUAGAUAUACCACGAGAUCAAGGAGGCUAAACCCUAGAAGCUAGCCUAUGGUAUGAUUGUUGUUGUCCUACGGACUAAAACCCUUCGGUUUAUAUAGACACCGGAGAGGGUUAGGGUUACACAGAGUCGGUUACAAUGGUAGGAUAUCUACAUAUCCGUAUCGCCAAGCUUGCCUUCCACGCCAAGGAAAGUCCCUUCCGGACAUGGGACGAAGUCUUCAAUCUUGUAUCUUCAUAGUCCGGGAGUCCGGCUGAAGGUAUAGUCCGGCUAUCCAGACACCCCCUAAUCCAGGACUCCCUCACCCAGGUUUUCAGCCAAGAUUAUAACUAACCAUGUCGACAAUAACUCUUAAACAUUAUAGUAACUCUUAUGAGUAGAGGCCGCGGGAAAAAGCCUAGUAGUAGCGCGGAUAAAAGACUAGUAGUAGUGCGGGUGCCCGUGCUACUACUAUGGCGCUACAGCUAACUCGUAGUAGUAGCGCAGGUGCCACCCGUGCUACUAGUACGUGUGUUAGUAAUAGCGCGGAUUCUACACACGCUACUACUAACUAUGUGUAGCGCCUGUCUGUGACCCGCGCUACUACUAUUAAUUUCAAAAACCAAAAAAAAAUCUCGACCCCGUGCAUGUUGUCAAUGGUGUCAUCCAGCGACGACAGGGGUUGCCGGAGGUGUGGACGGGUAGUGGCAGACCAGAUCCGGCGAUGGCUGUUGGAGAUGGCCGGAUCCAGUGUAGAGCAAGACGACGGUGUGAGGAUCCUCUUCGCGGUCAAGGCGGAGAACUCCUGGUUGGCCAUGUCGACGACCUGUGCAGGCAUGGGCAUGGGAGGUGAGUAAAACCAAAGGGAGAGGGAGAGGAGAGGGAGAGGGAAAAAGAGAAACAAGGGAGAAAGGAAGGAGAUGGAGGGCGUAUCGGGGCUGCAUGGAGGCGAGGAGGAAGACGGGCGAGCUCUUGGACGCCAGCGAUGCGAGGAGGAAGACGUUGGGUGCCAUGGAGGAGGAGAUGUUCUUGGGCAGGAGCACCAUGGAGAGAGGGGGAAAGUGAGGGAGAGAGGAGGAAAGUGAGAGAGGGGGAAAGUGAGGGAGAGAGGAGGGAUUCGGCCGAGGAUAUGGAGAUUUCAUCUACCUCGUACUUAGUAGUAGCGAGGGGUAUAAAACCGCACUACUACUAUCAACAUAGUAGUAGCAUGGGUUUGUACCCCUCGCUACUACUAUGGCAUGUCCCGGGAGGGCAUGGUAGACACCGCUUAGUAGUAUCGAGGGUGAAAAACCCGCGCUAAUAGUAUCAACUUAGUAGUAGCGAGGGGUAAAAACCCACGCUACUAGUAAGUAGCAGUAGCGACGGUUAUAAACCCGCGCUACUAGUAAGCGUCUGCCUAUAAGCUUUUCCCUAGUAGUGGCAUAUCUAUGACAUAAUCAACUAGCGAGCAAUAAUAAGAUAUCUCAAACAACAACACGUUGUGAAAACAACCAUGAUAUAAUAUGACAAUAGUGGUAUCUCGCUAGCCCUUUCUAAGACCGCAAAACAUAAAUGCAGAGCACCUCCAAAGUUCAAGCAGCGACUAAACAUUGUAAUUCAUGGUAGAAAAGAUCUAGUCUUGAUGCACCCAACAUUAGCAACACAUAGUGCAUCAGCAUGACAACAGUGCUCUUUGGAUUUGGCACUUAUUUUAGAAGGUGAUGACACAACAUAAAAGUAAAUAGAUAGUCCCUUCGCAGAGGGAAGCAGUGAUUUGCAGCUGUGCCAGAGCUCAAAAUUUUAAAACAGAGGUAAAUGAAAUUUUGGGAAAUUGAUACGUAUCCAAUGUAUCUAUAAUUUUUUAUUGUUCCAUGCUAUAUUAUAUUAUGUUUUGGAUGUUUAAUAGGCUUAUUUAUACACUUUUAUAUUAUUUUUGGGACUAACCUAUUAACCGGAGGCCCAGCACAAAUUGCUGUUUUUGUUCCUACUUCAGUGUUUCGCAAAAAAAAGAAUAUCAAAUGGAGUGCAAACGGAAUGAAACCUUCGGGAACAUGAUUUUUGAAACAAAUGUGAUCCAGAGGACUUGGAGUCCAUGUCAAGCAGUCAACGAGGAGGGCACGAGGCAGGGGGCGCUCCUACCUCCCCCUAGGCGCGCCCUCCACCCUCAUGGGGCCCACGUUGCUCCACCGGCGUACUUCUUCCUCCUAUAUAUACCUACGUACCCCCAAACCAUCAGGGGCAUCCACGAAAACCUAAUUCCACCGCCGCAACCUUCUGUACACGUGAGAUCCCAUCUUGGGGCCUUUUCCGGCAUCCUGCCGGAGGGGGCAUUGAUCACGGAGGGCUUCUACAUCAACACCAUAGCCACUCCGAUGAUGUGUGAGUAGUUUACCUUAGACUUUUGGGUCCAUAGUUAUUAGCUAGAUGGCUUCUUCUCUCUCUUUGGAUCUCAAUACAAAGUUCUCCACGAUUCUCGUGGAGAUCUAUUCGAUGUAAUCUUCUUUUGCGGUGUGUUUGUCGGGACCGAUGAAUUAUGGAUUUAUGAUCAAGUUUAUCUAUGAACAAUAUUUGAAUAUCCUCUGAAUUCUUUUAUGUAUGAUUGGUUAUCUUUGCAAGUCUCUUCGAAUUAUCAGUUUGGUUUGGCCUACUAGAUUGAUCUUUCUUGCAACGGGAGAAGUGCCUAGCUUUGAGUUCAAUCUUGUGGUGUCGUUUCCCAGUGACAGCAGGGGCAGCAAGGCACGUAUUGUAUUGUUGCCAUCGAGGAUAACAAGAUGGGGUUUAUAUCAUAUUGCAUGAGUUUAUCUCUCUACAUCAUGUCAUCUUGCUUAAAGCGUUACUCUGUUCUUAUGAACUUAAUACUCUAGAUGCAUGUUGGAUAGCGAUCGAUGUGUGGAGUAAUAGUAGUAGAUGCAGGCAGGAGUCGGUCUACUUGUCACGGACAUGAUGCCUAUAUACAUGAUCAUACCUAGAUAUUCUCAUAACUAUGCUCAAUUCUAUCAAUUGCUCGACAGUAAUUUGUUCACCCACCGUAAUACUUAUGCUUUUGAGAGAAGCCACUAAUGAAACAUAUGGCCCCCGGGUCUAUUUUCCAUCAUAUUAAUCUUCCAACACAUAGCCUUUUCUAUUGCCCUUUUUAUUUUACUUUGCAUCUCUAUUUCUCUUUAUCAUAGAAAUACUAAAAAUAUUAUCUUAUCAUAUCUAUCAGAUCUCACUCUCGUUAGUGACCGUGAAGGGAUUGACAACCCCUUUAUCGCGUUGGUUGCGAGGUUCUUAUUUGUUUUGUGUAGGUGCGUGGGACUUGAGCGUGGCCUCCUACUGGAUUGAUACCUUUGUUCUCAAAACUGAGGGAAAUACUUACGCUACUUUGUUACAUCACCCUUUCCUCUUCAAGGCAAAAAACAACGCAAUGCUCAAGAGGUAGCAAGAAAGAUUUCUGGCGCCGUUGCCGGGGAGUUUACGCAAAAGUCAACAUACCAAGUACCCAUCACAAACUCUUAUCCCUUGCAUUACAUUAUUUGCCAUUUGCCUCUCGUUUUCCUCUCCCUCGCUUCACCCUUGCCGUUUUAUUCGCCCUCUUUUCCGCUCGCCUUUCCUUCGCCAUGUCGGAACCAAAAAGAGUUGGGGGUUCUCUCCCGAGUUUUAGUACUUUGGACGAUCCUUCUAUUCUAUCUAAACUCAUAAAUAAUGUCAUGGUAAAACCUGCCGGAGUUGUCAAUGAGAGUCUUAAUAAUUUUGAUGAAGAUGAUUCCGGAAUUUUUCGUUAUUUACUCGAUGAAUCUUUGAAAGAUGCUUGGGAUAGACUGUUAAGGAUCCGGGCUAACUAUGUGCCCCAAUACCAAAUUGUAGUUUACUUGAAGAGCUUUUAUGUUGCCCUACCUUCUUCGUUUAAGCAUGUCUUAGAUUCUAUAUUUGAAGAAGGCUUUCUUGAAGGGGAUGCCGUAGAUACUUAUGAAAAGAUGAAGACCAUAUUCGGGCACCCCAUGAAUGAGAAAAUUGAAUCUACAUCUCUUUUGCUCUCCAGUCCUUGGUUCAUGUAAAUCUGAAUCUAGCCGGCACUACCCCUUCACAAGCUGUUGCAUAGUCUUCAGCGAGGUGCGGCAUAACUUCCGUGUGAGGGGAAAUGAACUUCUCCAUGAAUACCUUCUCUCUCACCUUGAAAGCGGUAUAGUAGUAGCCUGGGUUGCACUUGAGCAAUCCAUUUUCCAUGAGAAACUUUACAACGUAGUACCUGGGUUUCAUCCAGCCCUCCAGCUUGUAAUUGAUAAUUAUUGACCGUUGAGCAACGUAGGUAGGUUCCAACCUGUUAGACUAUGUAUAGCUUCUGUACCUAUGUACGUAUAUGGUACAUAUUGUAACACAACCAUUAUAUAUAAUGAGAUAAGCCACCCCUAGAGGGUUGUGCUGGUUCCCCAAAACUUAUUGUCUUACAUGGUAUCACGCUAGGUUACGAUCGCUUCCGCUUCUAAACCCUAAUACCCGCACCGCCGCCGCAGCCGCCGCCGCCUUCACCGCCGCCGCCGCGCCACCGAUCGCGCCGCCGCCAUGUCGAGCGCUGCCACCACCGGUUCCACUGCUGCGGGCUUCCUCCCGGCCUCUCUUGCGGCUCUGCUCAACCUCCCGCUCGAUGCCGUCUCUGUUCCGGCUCCGAUCGGGACAAGGAGCAUCGGCUCCGUCUUCUCCAUGCCGCCGGCGCCCUCGCUUGGGCGUGACCUCGUGGUCCACACCGCGGCGCCGCCGUCCGCUGCGGACUCCGCAGGCAUCGUCCCGCCGCUCCUGCCGCAAGCGGAUCACACUGCCCCGCUGGCGGGGUUGGCGGCGUCCGCCCCGGCCGCGGGCCUUGCGGCGUCCGCACCGGCCGCGAGCUUUGCGGCGCCCGCCCUGGCUGCGGUCCCGCCUCCUCCCGCAUCGGCUUCGGUGCCUCCAGCUGCCUCCAUGGUGUUUGCACCCCAGGCAGCCUCCUCGAUGGGAUUGUCUUCGCCGCUGCCGUUUCACUUCGGUCAUCUCAUCACCAUCAAGCUCUCCGCCGACAACUACAUCUUCUGGCGUGCGCAGGUUCUCCCGCUCUUGGGGAGUCACUACCUGCUAGGCUACAUCGACGGAUCGCUUCCCUGCCCACCCGCGCUGGUAGACAGCAUGCACGGUCCGGUCUACAAUCCGGCCCAUCGCGUCUGGACGGGGCAGGACCAGGCGAACCUCUCCUCCAUCCAGGGGUCGCUCUCGCCGGCAGUUGUCGGCCUUGUUGUCUUCGCGAAGACGUCUCAUGAGGCCUGGACCAUCCUUGAGCACACCUUUGCAGCGCAGUCCCAGGCUCGUGUCUCUGCACUCCGUCGUCAGCUUGGAGAGUGUCAGAAGCUUGACUCCACUGCCACUGAGUUCUACAACAAGGUCAAGGGCCUCGCCGACACAUUGGCCUCCAUUGGACAGCCCCUCACCGACUCCGAGUUCAACUCGUUUAUUGUCAAUGGUCUUGAUGAGGAGUAUGAUGCCUUAGUCGAGAUCAUCAACGAGCGGGGCAACUCGACACCCAUGCUGGCACACGAGGUUUUCUCUCGGCUCCUUCUCACUGAGCAACGGGUCGAGACUCGCCGCACCAGGGGCACUGGCUCCCUCUCGGCCAACGCCGCCACCAAGGGUGGCCGCUCUUCUUCAUCACCCCGGUCUCCCUUGGGGCUGCCACCGUCGCCCUCCUCGGCCCCCCACCUACUGCGACCUUACCGGGGGCUGGCGUUCCACGUGUGUGUCAGCUUUGUGGCCGCGAUGGGCACUGGGCCUCCAAGUGUCAUAAGCGCUUCCAGCGAAGCUUCCUUGGUCUUGGCAAUGACGGCAAAGAUACACGCAACAAUGCCCGUCAGGUCGCCAUGGCUGAUCGUCCCGCGCCGCAGAAGCAACAGGGACACACUCAGUCCUACUCCAUCGAUCCACACUGGUACAUGGACUCUGGGGCGAUAGAGCAUCUAACCAGCGAGAUGGGGAAGCUUCACACUCGUGAACCCUAUCAUGGCUCCGACAAGAUCCACACCGCCAAUGGAGCAGGUAUGCACAUCUCUCAUAUUGGUCAAGCAUCUCUUCUCACUAGACAUGCCAAUAGGAGUCUUCAGCUUCGCAAUGUUCUUCGAGUUCCAUCUGUGACCCGUAAUCUUCUUUCAGUUCCUAAACUCACACGUGAUAAUAAUGUGCUUUGUGAAUUUCACCCUUUUGAUCUUUUUAUUAAGGAUCGGGGCACGAGGGACAUUCUUCUUAGUGGGCGGUUGUGCCAGGGCCUCUACCGUCUGGAGCAUCCUGGUGUCGCUCGUGUUUUCAGUGGAGUUCGGGUCUCUCCGUCACAGUGGCAUGCUCGUCUUGGUCACCCGGCCACACCUAUUGUCCGUCAUAUUUUGCGUCGUCAUGAGCUUCCUAGUUUGUCUAGUCAUAAAGAUGUAGCAGUGUGUGAUGCUUGUCAGCAGGGGAAGAGUCAUCAACUUCCUUUUUCGGAGUCCAGUCGUGAGGUGAAACAUCCUUUAGAACUUGUGUUUUCAGAUGUAUGGGGUCCUGCUCAGACUUCUGUCAGUGGUCAUAAUUACUAUAUCAGUAGUCGCUUUACCUGGCUUUACCUUAUUAAACGCAAAUCUGAUGUGUUUGAUAUUUUUGUUCAGUUUCAAAAACAUGUUGAACGUCUUCUCAAGCACAAAAUUGUUCAUGUCCAGUCAGACUGGGGGGGCGAGUAUCGCAACCUCAACUCUUUCUUUCAGUCGCUUGGGAUAGCUCAUCGUUUAGCAUGUCCACAUACACAUCAGCAGAAUGGUUCAGUCGAACGUAAGCAUCGUCAUAUUGUUGAAGCUGGUCUUACUCUUUUGGCCCAUGCAUCUAUUCCGUUUCGGUUUUGGAGUGAUGCUUUCACCAUUGCAUGCUUUCUCAUCAACCAUACUCCUACUCGUGUUUUAAACAUGAAGACUCCCAUUGAGGUUCUCCUUAAUGAACAACCUGAUUAUACCUUUCUCAAGGUAUUUGGGUGUGCUUGCUGGCCGCAUCUUCGUCCAUAUAACAAGCGCAAGCUUGAGUUUCGUUCUAAGAAGUGUGUUUUUCUUGGCUAUAGCUCUCUUCAUAAAAGUUACAAAUGUCUUCAUGUUCCCACUAAUCGUGUCUAUAUAUCUCGGGACGUCGUGUUUGAUGAGCAUGUUUUUCCCUUUGCCAACCUUCCUGUGUCCACUGUCGAACCACCAUCCCUGCAUUCAUCCUCUGUUGCUUCUGACCAAUUUGAUGAUGUUGCAUACUCUCCUUUGCUGUUACCUAACCAUCUCCACUGCUCGGUCCGUUUCGCCAGCGGCCGCCGAGUCGCCCGCGACUCGGCCCGUCACGCCGUCUUCGCCUGCGGCUCGGCCCGUCACGCCGUCUUCGCCCGCGGCUCGGGUCCUCAUGUCGCCUUCAUCAGCGGAUCGGCCUGCGACACCGGCCGCGCCACGGCCCACUAUGCCGAGCUCGCCAUCGGCCCGGUCUGUGAUGCCGGAGUCGCCAGCUGCUUCGUCUGCUCUGCCGGUUUCGCCGGUGGGUCGGCCUUCUUCGCCAACCGAGUCCGAGGCUACCGUGACUGGCUCCUCGUCACCGGCUGACUCGUCAACGUCGCCGUCCUCCAGCCCGUUGCAGGCUGCUCCGUCGACCUCGGUGGUUCCUGUGUCCCGACCACAUACAUGCAGUCGCAGUGGCAUUUUCAAACCUAAGGAACGUAAGGAUGGUACGGUUGCUUGGUUGGCUGCUUGUUUGGCUGCUGCUGUUGCGGAUCCAUCUUCUGAGCCUCGCUCAUAUCAGGCUGCCCUGCGCAUUCCACAUUGGCGAGAGGCUAUGGAGCAGGAGUUUCAUGCUCUUCUUCGUAACAAGACAUGGACUCUCGUUCCUCCACCACCACGGGUAAAUGUUAUUGAAUCAAAAUGGGUAUUCAAAGUGAAGAAGCAUUCGGAUGGAUCUAUUGAGCGUUACAAAGCGCGACUUGUUGCUCGCGGUUUUCGGCAGCGUCAUGGUCUUGACUAUGAGGACACCUUCAGUCCUGUCGUCAAGCCUACCACUAUUCGACUUCUUCUCUCCAUUGUUGUUUCUCGUGGUUGGUCACUUCGUCAACUUGAUGUGCAGAAUGCUUUUCUACAUGGAUUUUUGGAGGAAGAGGUUUAUAUGAAACAGCCGCCUGGUUUCUCUGAUCCUGAUCGUCCUGACUAUAUCUGUCGUCUUUCCAAAGCACUAUAUGGUUUGAAGCAAGCUCCUCGUGCCUGGCAUGCCUGCCUUGCCUCUGCCCUUCGUGCUCAUGGGUUUGUGCCGUCUACUGCUGACACUUCGUUAUUUCUUCUACAGAAGCCAGAAGUCACUAUGUAUCUUUUGGUAUAUGUCGAUGAUAUUAUCCUUGUCAGCUCUUCUCAGUAUGAUGCUGAUGCUCUUGUCUGCUCUCUUGGUGCUGAUUUUGCGGUCAAAGAUCUUGGGAAGCUUCACUACUUUCUUGGAGUUGAGGUCACUUCUCGUGCUACUGGUCUUGUCCUUACGCAGAAGAAGUACUCCUUGGAGUUGUUACAGAGAGCUGGCAUGCUGAAGUGCAAACCGACCACCACACCCAUGUCGUCUACCGACAAGAUAACAGCUGCUGAUGGUGAGCUUUUGUCUCCUGCGGAUGCCACAGAGUACAGGAGCAUUGUUGGUGGACUUCAGUACUUGACGAUCACGAGACCAGAUAUCUCUUAUGCUGUUAACAGGGUUUGUCAGUAUCUUCAGGCUCCCAGAGAUACUCAUUGGGCUGCUGUUAAACGCAUUCUUCGUUAUGUUCAGUUCAUCCUGACAUUUGGUAUGCAUAUUCGGCCGACUUCCUCUCGGGUCCUUUCGGCCUUCUCUGAUGUAGAUUGGGCUGGUAGCCCAGAUGACAGACGAUCCACGGGGGGUUAUGCAGUAUUCUUUGGCUCUAAUUUGAUCGCCUGGAGUGCUCGGAAACAAGCUACUGUGUCACGUAGCAGUACUGAAGCUGAGUACAAGGCUGUGGCUAAUGCUACUGCAGAGAUUAUUUGGGUGCAGUCUUUGCUUCAGGAGUUGGGUUUGUCUCAACCACAGCCUCCUAUUCUUUGGUGUGAUAACAUCGGUGCUACAUACCUUUCUGCAAAUCCAGUAUUUCAUGCCCGAAUGAAACACAUUGAAGUUGACUAUCACUUUGUACGGGAACGUGUAUCACAGAAGCAACUCCAGAUCAAGUUUAUCUCAUCUAAGGAUCAACUUGCAGACAUCUUCACUAAGCCUUUACCGCUGCCACAGUUUGAGGCUUGUAGGCGCAAUCUUACCCUUCUCAGUUCUUUAGAAAGUGGCUAAGAUUGAGGGAGGGUGUUAGACUAUGUAUAGCUUCUGUACCUAUGUACGUAUAUGGUACAUAUUGUAACACAACCAUUAUAUAUAAUGAGAUAAGCCACCCCUAAAGGGUUGUGCUGAUUCCCCAAAACUUAUUGUCUUACACAACCCCACCUCAGAGAUGAGGAAAUCAGACCUGCGCUGCAGUAAUUCCUUUGACUUCCUCAGCAGACACGGAGCGUUACACACAACAAUGCUCACCUCAGCGUCUGACCACCUGAACAUCUUCUUCAAGUAGGCCACAUUGGCGGCGAUCUUCUCCUCGCUGAGGAAUCUGACAGUAUCCAGCGUGUGCCUGAACAUCCUGAGCCACGAGGCAUGCCAAGGCCUUCGGCGCAUGCCACCAUCGCCCUGACGUGUUCUGGCUUGUUGCUCAGGACACCCCGCGCGCGGAGGGACAACUUGGUGAUAUCGCAAUCAUCUAGCCCGCAUUGCCGUAGGAGCGCGACGUUGGGUUUGACCAUCUCCUCGAUGCUGUGUUUUGGUUUUCGGUUUGCGUUUUUUCUCGCCCCUGAACGAGAUGGCCGAAAUUCGGCCAUUUCAAAAAUCUCGGUAAAAUCUCGGACGAAAUUACAAAACCAAAAUUUGAAUUUUAAACGAAAUUUGACUAAAAAUUGGCCGAAAUUCGGCCGAAUUUUUUGAAAACAAGCAGAGCAAAUGUACAGCAGUCGAACAACACUGAGGAGUACAUGUAUGCGUUACCAAACUAGCUUUGGGGAUUAAUAACUCCAAAAGAAAAGAUUGAAACAAGGAUACAGAGAGGUGAUCCAGAGUUGAGGAGUUCCCGAUGGAUUCAGCCGCAGCCCGCAGCCGGCAGAGGUCAGCAGCAGGGGCCGGUCGUAGGAACGGCGAGAACGGGGUAGGAGCCGCAUGCUCGAGCGGGGAGGCAGGUGCCGACGAGCGGAGGAGCCGCGUAUUGGCGCAUCGCCGCCGCCGCAAACACAGGGGCCGCAGGGGAUCGUGGUUAGUUUAGGGUUCACGAGUUCGGUUCGAUGCUUUUAAUCCAGGCAAACCGUGGGGAGGCCCAGAAGUUGGACUGGGCCAGAAAAAAGUUUCAAUCUGGGCCGAAAGUUUUGGCCGGCACAGACAUUUACCGGGUCGAGGCGAGAUGACCGAAAUUCGGCCGAAAAUUGUUUUUUUCGGCCGAAAAUCAAAACACAGCCUCGAUGUCAGCGCCGGCGAGGUAGCCUUGCUUGAGCACCCGGAAGAGGUUCUCCGAGGAGCCGAAUAGGAGCAGGUAGUACCGCAAAUUGGAAACAAUGGACCUGGAACAGAAGUGGGCGAAGGAGAGCGCGACGAGGCGCACGAUCUCAGUACGCGAGAGGCCGAGGCCGGUGAGCCCACGACGACGGGGGCUAGAGUUUUCUCUACUUUGGCGCAGAGGAACAACGGGUCCUUGGCGACGAGGGCGGCGACGUCGGUGCCGGAGAGGCCGAGGCCGGCGAGGAAGGAAAGGACGGCGUCGGGCUUGGACGAGGACUUGAGGUGGGAGAGCUUGGCGGAGGCCUUGAGUGCCUGGGGUCGGGUGAGGCCGAAGGUGGAGACGAGGUAGUCGUCGACGACGAAGCUAGGGUUUGGGGAAACGCCGGGCGCGGCGGCCGCGGAGAGGGGGCGGUGGAGAGGGGGGCCUGAGAGGUGGCGGGGGAAGAGAGGAGCCGCACGAGGAUGCAGCCACGGAGGCGGAGCAUGGCGGCGGCGGCGGCGGAGAGAUUGAUUCCCUAUGGAGGCGGGUGCGAAUGGGAUGGUGCUUCGGAGGCGGGGAUGCGGCGCCCCGGCGAGGCAGGUGAGGAACGGAGGAAGAGAACAGGAGGAGAGAUCGAAGAGGAUGGCACUUCGGCGGCGGCGGCGGCGCCGCCGAAGAGAUUUUCCGGUCCGCUGUGAGUGGAGAGGAAAAAUGGGAAAUGGCAGGUGCGAUGCGAAUGGAGGCUCCGCAAAUUGCAAUAUCACUGAAUCCCAGGGGUCUUUACGUCUUUCAAAAAUACAAAAUACAUUUAAAAAAACAUACAUAAUACAUUGAGCCUCAUGGAAACUUUCAUAUACACAUGGAAAAUAGAUAUCCCCUCCGUUUAAUAAUGUAGUGCAUAUAGAUUUUUGAAAGUCGGACUUUGCAAAUUAUGAUCAAAUUUAUAAAGCGAACUACUUAUACCUACAUUAUCAAAUAUAUAAAAUAUGAACCUACGUCUUAUGAUGAAUCUAAUGAUAUAUGCUUGACAUUCUAGAUGUAAAUGUUUUUCUUCACAAACUUGGUCAAAUUUUGUUAGAUUUGACUUUUCAAAAAAUCUACAUGCAAUCAUUAUGCAAUCGGUAUUAUAAGGAAAAUGACUUUGAGCGAUAAGAUUAUAUCACAAAAUAAGCUAUUAUACGACUUGUACUUAUCCUAUGAUUUUUUUCUGUAGGUAUAGUACUUCAUCCGUUUUUAUUUACUUUGCAUAUUAGAGUUGACUGAAGUCAAACUUUGUAAAGUUUGACCAAGUUUAUAGAAAAGAAUAUAAAUAUUUACCCUAACAAACGAAAAUCUGCAUCUGAGCCCGGGCUCAGAUGUUCCCGCUCAGAAAAAAAUUCAAAACAAAUUCUAGAAAAAUUCAAAUAAAUCCAAUUUUUUGUGUGGUAGAUAAUUUGAUGCGUGAGGCCCGCUUCAAAUUUCAACUCAUUUGGAUAUCUGAGGAGCUCUCGGCAAAAAAGACAAAUCGGAUCAAAACAGUUCGUGAACAAUAAACUUUUUUACAGACCCGAUUUUGUCUUUUUGCAGAGAGCUGCUCAAAUGUCCAAACGAGUUGAAAUUUGCAGCAAACCUCACGCAUCAAAUUAUCUAUCACACAAAAAAUGGAAUUUUUUUGAUUUUUUCUAGUAUUUGUUUUGAUUUUUUUCGUCGGAGCGAGUGCAGUUGAGCCCGGGAGCCAAAUUGGCUUAUAUGAUGUGAAAGUAUGUUCAAUAAUGAAUGUAAUGGUAUUGAUUUGUUAUUGUACAUGUUAAUAUUUUUGACUAUAAACUUCGUCAAAAUUUAUAAAGCUUGACUUUGACCAAAACUAAUAUGCGGAAUAAAUAAAAACGGAGGGAGUAAAUGGCUAUGUUUUUUUUUGUACGUAGUAAAUGGUUACUUUUUCUGAUUUUUUUUAAAUGGUUAUGCUUGCUAACCAAUCCAAUUCAAAUUAUAUGUCGCUCAAACGGAUGUAUCUAAUUAAUAUGGAUCGGAUGGAGCAGAAAAGUUCAUAUGGAUAUAUAUUUUCUCAAAACUUGAAAGUAUGAUUUCUACAAGUAAAAAAAAAUCAUAUGUGAACUAUGUUUGUUUUUAGCAUUUUGUGUGCGUUCAUGUUUCUUUUUCUCUCUCUUCAUUCUAGCCUCUUUUCCUCCACCUCACUCUGUUCUCACAUUGACAUUGUUGCCUUUUUCAGUGGACUCCUACCUAUCUUUUCUAACUUUUGCAAGGUGAGAAUUGAGAAGGUUAUUAUUCUUUAGUUUUAUGUGUAUAGCUAUCCUAGAGUCGAGAUCAAUUGCAUCGUGUCCACUUAUCCUCUAUAACACUAAGCUUCCUAGUUUUAAAAAGCCCACACUCAAUUAAGGUCUCCAAUUAGAAUUGGAUCAUCCGAUUUUGAACGGGUCAACAAUUUCUCAAAGCUUCAUAAUCCAAUUUUUUUAUACUAUACCAUAUGCUUCCUAAUUUUUAAGGCCUCACAAUUAAUUAAGAUAUUCAAUAUAGAUUGAUCAUCCAAUUUUGACUGGGUCAACAAUUUCUCAACCUCUCCAAUUGAAUUCUUUUAAUUCACUAUAUUCCAAAAUUUUGAAUCUCUUUCAUUCAAUUGAGGUAUUCAAUUUUGAUUUGGUUGAAGAUUUUGAGUGGGCCAAUGAUUUUCAAAUCAAUCAGCUGCAACUGACCUAUAAAAACAUAUCAAUCCCAUGCACCCUUCCACCACAUAGAAAAAAGAAACGUCACCAUGUGAUAUUGUAGUAUCAAUAUAGUACAUGCAACCACCAACGCAGAAAUUUUUCCACAUAAAUAUAGGUUGGUUAGCGGAUGACACAGUCAUCUCCCCACCCGCCUAACUUAAUAUUCCAUCAGUUAUAAAAUAUGAAGGGUAUUAAUUUUGUAGAAAGUAAAACUUCUUUAACUUUGACCAAGUUCAGAGCAAAAAUAUCAACAUCCACAAUAUUAAACAAAAAAAGUAUGGAAAUUCAUUUCGUGAUGAAUCUAAAAAUACUGAUUUAAUCUUAUGAAUUUUGAUAUAUUUCUCUCAAAUUUGAAAAAACUUAAAAGGUUUGGCUUUUCAAAAAAAUACACCUUAUAUUAUGAAACAGAGUGAUUAGUUUCUUAAGAUACCCAAUAACAUGAACGGCGCAGCAAAGCGCGCAGAACCCUUCUAGUUAGUAGUAUAUCUAAGAACAAUUAGCAUCCCAUUGAUGAUCGAUAAACCUUCUUAGUCCAGCUAGUGGUUGGUUGUCUAGAGUAUAGCUGGCCAAAUGGGCCGGUUUUUUCGGGUCGGCCCGUGAGCACGCCGGCACGGCCCACCUUGGGCCAGGCACGGCACGGGCCAAACGAGCCAGGCCCAGCACGCGGCACGCCCUAGGCCGUGCCUGGGCUGGAGGCUGGGCAUGCGGGCCGGCACGGCACGGCCCGAUUAUGUUUUUUAUAUUUGUUAUACAUUUAUAUAUGAUCCAACAUGUAAAAAUAAGCUAAAAACGCUCAAUGCGUCAAAUAAUAGGCUAAAAAUAUGCGGCCCACCGUGCUAAAUGGGCCAACGUGCCGGCUCGUUUACUAACGGGCCGUGCCUGGGCCUGGGGGCGCAGCACGCGGGCCGGCACGGCACGGCACGUAUAGUAAUCGUGCCCUGGCGGACCGUGCCGGACCAGGCACGAUUAUGAUGGGCCGGGCCAUGCCGUGCCGGGCCAGCCCGUUUGGCUAGGUAUGGUCUAGAGAUCUAUAUGGAGUCAGUUGAGAUGGGAUGGUCAGCCAAGUGGGUUGAUCAAUGCUCCUCUUAAAAUUCGAAGCCUAAAGUAGAUGUGCUACUCGAGAAAUAAAAAGACCAACGUAGACCGUACCAACAUCUAAUAUUUGACGUCACAUUUAAAUUUGAUACUAUUCAUACCCAUAAUUGUCCCUUUGCUCAUCGAAUUAUGCAUCUUAUAUAAAUGUUGUAAAUGAUCAAUUUUUAUAAUAAUUUUAGGGUUGUAGUUCGGUGCAUAGGUAGCUCAGAGGAACCAUAGUCAUCGCUUCCUCUCCAAAAAAGCUUAGGGUUCCUAUGCCUCCCGCUGGCGCAGCUGCCGGUCCACCUCGUCUCCGGUGGCCCUAGGGUCAUGGGGACACGGUGAAUCUCAUCCCUUACCAGAGGGCUUCGUUUUUAGACGUUUCUUUGAAUUUUGUUAGGGUUGUGUCUUGCUAAUUAAGGAGGGCAAGACAACGACGGCUUCCUGAAGAUUGAAUAAGAUUCUCCCCGCCUAGCCCCCGUCUCGAUGGCGCAUCUAACAUCGUCGAAGAGUGUGUGGAGGUGUAUCUCCGCCAGAUCUCGCAGGAUUCGGUAGGUGGUUUGUCUUUGGUGGAUCUACUCGGACCCGGUCUUCGUUCGUCUACGUUUGUGUGUCGCUAGAUUGGAUCCUUCCGAUCUAUGGGUCUCUUCAUCGGCGGGGGUUGCUAUUCUAGUGCGCUGGUCCUACGAGGCCUUAGCACGACAAGUUCCCGACUGUGUACUACAAUAAGUUCUGCCCGGCUCCGGGGAGGGAAGGGCGAUGACGACGGUGCGUCUUCGGCUCGUUUUAAUGCUUGUAGUCUUUGCUAGAUGGUCUAAGGAUGAAUGUGAUUUUUAUUAUUCCUAUUGUUCAUUGUAUUGUCAUGAUUGAAAAUGAAUAUAUCAAAUGAUUUCUCAUAGAAAAGAAGCUCAUAAGAACCAUUAAAAGGACAAUCGUGUGGUCUCCCUAGACUUUUUUUUAGAAAAGGAGGAAGACCCCCGGCCUCUGCAUCUGAGCGAUGCAUACAACCACUUUAUUAAUUAUUCUCAAAAGACCUUACAAAGAAAUACAACAAUAAGUCUGAAGCCAUCAUCUAGGCAACAUCUGUUGCUACUCCUAUUCAUUUGAUGAAGGGAUGCUGAUAGUCUGGGCUUAAUACCAAACAGACCUCGCAGCCAAACCUAACAUCUAAGACCUGAGUUCCCAUCCAGGACGCCUGCCGGGUAUGGGUCACCCACCGGUCCGGCACACUCCUCAACAUGGACGCCUGCCGGGUAUGAGGCCGCCGCAGCCACCUGCCACCAAUCCAUCUUCAGAGAUGUAGUGUUGCAUCUACCUUGUCCGGUCUAGCUGCCGUCGACGCCACCACGAUGCCAGACAACGCCACCAUCCUGCGCUCGUCCAUCAACACACGCCCAGCAGCAAGAUCCCGCUGCUCUAUGCCCCUGAGACCCGCCAUUGUCGACGUAUCAGAUGCAACGCCGCUCCUCCUUCGCGAACACCACCUUCUACCACUGGUCCUAUCCCCUCCACCUGUAGAUCCUCUGAACUCCCAACCGAGCCCUAGUGCCCCUGACGACACCUCCAGGAAGGUCACGACGCAAAAAGCGCCGCUGCCGCCAGAUCCGAAAAGGAUUGAAGGUUUUCACCCGGCCGGGGAUCGGGGUGGAUAGAUUGGGCCCUCAGCUGCGCCUUCAUGAAGGAAAGCGGCACCCAUGAGCGUCGCCGCCGCCGGGCCGGCUAGACUGGCCAAGGUUUUCCCCGGACCCAAAGUACACCACCAGGGCUGACCACCACCGGAGCCUGCAGCCGUAAACCACCAGGACGACGACAGAGGCAGCAGGAGAAAGGGGAACCAUUAAAAGGACAAUCGUGUGGUCUCCCUAGAUGGUCCUUGGAGGGAGCGAUGCAAUUUCAUUUCCUUUUUAUUGCAUUCUCAUGGAUCUAUGGGAUACACAGAUUUGGAAUAGCCAUGCGUUAUAUAGGUUUGGAAAAGAUGAAUGGGCAGGACAAAGCCCAUCAAGGUCCACAGUUGGACAUGGUAUUUUUCUCUUCCCUGAUCUUGUGUGGUUGUUACAUUACAACGAGGACUAGAUGCAUUCAUGAACCUGAGGAGACUAUAUACGGUGAUUAUAUCGUGGCUAUCAUAUUUACCUAUUUUACAAAGAAUGAUCGGAUAUAAUUUACUGGUACAAUCCAUUGUGUGCCUUUCACGCUUCCGUCAGUUUAAUUUCCUCACAUUUUAAGUAGUCUUGUGAAGUUGUGAUCAGGUAGCUCGCAAUCUGAAUUUCUGUAAUGAAUUUUUUUUGGUCCAACGAGUAAAACGUAGACUUGGUGACCCUCAAAAGGGAUGAUAUUUUACAUAACGAGUAAAUCAUGAUGUCCUUAGAUAUUUCUUAUGAGUAUUUCUUCUUUUCUGCGGAAAAGUUUCUUGUCUUCCGAACUCUUGGAUGUGGGCAGAACUCUUGAUGAGCCGAGGCACCCGCGGCAUGCCAUUGUGAGUCAAGUUUGCCAUUGUUUGAUGGGAAGUUUUCAAGUGCUACAUGUAGAAGGACGCUAUAGUGGCUGCAAUCUUGCUGCUAAGUGACACGUACUGUCACCCUGUUUCUAAUGAAAAAAACUGAAGAACAAUGACUCAUUUAAACAUUGUUCAAUUUUGUGGUUCAUGAGCCUUUUCUUCAAAGUUUACUUAAAAGUUGGGUUAUUAGGUAAAAAAUGGUUCCUUUCCUUUUGUGCUUGCAAUUUAUUGUCCUGACAAAAACACUUUUUAUUGCAGUGCUAAGAAAAUGCGUCUACUACUUGACUGAACUAAAUACUCUUGAUAGCAAACCCUCUCUGGGCAUAUUCGUAGAUUCAAGGUGAGGAGACAUGCCAGCAUACAGACCAGCAACAUACAUGGCACAUGUACGACGUUCUAACAAGAGCAUAAAGUUGAUUGAUUCUUGAUAGCAUCACCUGAAUAUAUCACUCACGGAUUCAUGAAUGUUCCCCGUUGCAAUGCACGGCCAUUCACCUAGUAAAGGCAAUGAUUUGUUGGUAGUAGAGGCAUCUCAUGUUUCAAAGGGUUAAACCUUAGCCGUCGUGACCCGGCUCCAUGGCUGGGUCAAUCUCGCACCUCUGUUGGUGCCGAACCCUAGGCAAAUUCCCCCAAAUCUCUUGUUGUUUCUAUUGAUUGACCGAAUGUGAGGAGCAAUAGUAGAUCAAUAACUCUCGUAUAACCGAGGGAAAAAGAAAUGAAGAGAAGUUGGCGAAAGUAUCAAGUGGUACAUCUACUUUUUAUAACAUCACAUGAAGCCGGCGAAAAGGAAAGCCGAUCAACGAAGAAACUGCAUAGGGGACCUAUCAUGAGUGAACAUUGCGUGGGCGCCAUUGGCCGCAUCUCAUCAUCUUGUUGUGUAGAAGAAGAAAUGACUGCCGAUGCUGCUGGUGCCUCCAUCUCUAUGACCUUGCCGUCCAAGCCCGCAUUAGCAACAAACACGUAGCACUAGAGCACGGGAGGAGAGUUGAUCAGGGAAAUCGCCUUUCUUGACGACAGGAGAAUUAGUGAUGGGCGACUCCACGCGACGCUGAUGUGAUUUCAGGCCACACUAAAGGAUGUCGGAGAAGGGGGCCAUAGGACGAACUCAACCGCAUCGGUAGUGGGCUUGGUGGAUAUUGUGUCGAGGGCUCGGGGACGCACUCGGUGAUGGUGGUGGACCUCGGGGAGGGGGGCCUCAUACACGUGGAUGCAGGGGAAAAGAGGGUGCACGGGCUUGAAGGCAUUACUCAUCCACCUCUUCUGGCAAAGAGAGCUCAUCGGGGCCAACCGCGUGAAGGAGGAGCUUGAGGUAGCUUGGAGGAGGCGACGACGACAACCAGAUCCAUCUGGCAAGCCAGAGUGGAGGCAUCCCACGUGGGAGCAGUGAUUUCGGUGCCUAAGCUUAGAUGCACCUGCUAUUAUGUUUGUUCAUUGCUGCAUGGAGAUUCAGGAAAUGGGGCAUGAGGUGGCAUUGCUAGGGCGUGGAAAAUCCCCAAAAUGAACUAUACAUGCAUGAAUAGUGUGAUACAUGUGGGUCUAUCGUGUAGCACACGAGGAGGGUUCGAACGAAGGACAGACGGUGCCAUCUUGGUUGGAUUCUGAUCCAUGGCACCUAAUCGUCUGCAUUCAUCUAAGUCGUGGCUCACUCUGCUGCCUGUGGCAUGACUUUGACACUUUGAAUCCGAGUCAUGGCCUAAAGAUUUGUGUAGCUCCAGUUGGGGCCUGCGGUGUAGGAUCGUCGGUACGCACACCGAAUGUCAUCCACGACCGACGUCGGCCAACAGAUUGCUAGCUUACUAGACGCUACAAGAGGUAGCGUCCUUCGUGAAGUUUGUGUGCUUCAACACCAACCAGGUCAUCCUAAGCCGUCAUGGACAACCCAUUCAUCUACGUGGUUGACUUCAACAUUGGAGACGACUUCUCAUGGUCGUUGCUCAUGUCACACCUUGCUCACCAUGGCAACAAGCUGUUUCAUGUCACGUCACUUGCCACCACAUUAAUGCACCGCGCGGAUACGCAUGCACCUACAAUCGUGCAUGGUGUCCCUCAGAGUUCACGCGCGUCCCUAGGGGCUCCCAUUCCAGUACGACGAGAAGGACCUCCUGGUCUGGGCUGGAAGUCACGUAAUGGUACCUACAACAAUCUCGAAAAGAGUAGAAGGCCUGGAUUUCGAGAGCAUCUGAGCUCGCACUUAGAAAUCUAUUUUUGUUCCCACGGUCCAUACAUAGAGAGAAACUAGAAAAGAAAAUGCAAAACACGCAUACAUGCAUGCAUGCUUCCACAAAUGGGUUACCAGAUACCUUUCUGGGGCUCUGGUGACCUCACAUUCAUUGUUGACCCCUUACGACCUCACAAUCAUGGGAGAGAUUUCAUGACCGCACACUGUCUCUAUAAAAGCCUAUCACCUCUAUGAAUCAUGUGGCUCCAUCAUUUCAAAUCCUCCGCGCGCCUAAGAUACCACUUGAGAAAUUACUAAUGGCCAACGGAAAGAAUGUCAUGGCCAUGUUGUUUCUCACCACCAUUGUGGCGGUGGCGGCCACAAGGCCAGCCGAGACCUAUGGCGCUGCGGAGGAGAACACAUUGAAGAUGGCUACCCCCAGCAAGAAAGGGGUUGACGCUACCUUAGCAGCUACACGUGUUGUUGCCGCCGAGAAGUCCAUCAAGAAGGCUGAAAGCGCCACCACACCAGAAGAGGCCGCGACUGCCAAGCAAGAUGGAGCAAAAUCUGCUUCUGCUGCAUUAAAGUACAAUGCCAUCUCUCAGCAGGCAAAUGGUAAAGGUUCUUCUACCUCCCUAGGCAGGAAAGAAGCAGCCGGUACUUUAGCCGCCGCACACUAUGCCGCCGCCGAGAAGUCCAUCAAGAAGGCCGAAACCGCCAAGACACCUGCAAAGGCCGUGGCUGCCAAGCGAGACGCAGCAAAGUCUGUUGACAAUGCAUUAAAGUAUGAUGCCAUCUCUCGGAAAGCAGCUGGUACAAGUUCUUCUACCUCCCCCAAUAGGAAAGAAGGCACCACUGAUGCUGCUAAGAUGUUCACCAAGAAGGCUGAAACCGCUACCACACCUGAAGAGGCCGCGAAUGCCAAGCAAGCUGCAGCCAAGUCUACCGCUGCUACAUCAAAGUAUGGUGUCAUUUCUCAGCAAGUAGCUGGUACAAGUUCUUCUACCUCCCCUAGCAGGAAAGAAGCUGCCGGUACCUUGGCAGAUGCUCACAUAGCUACUGCCGAGAAGUCCAUCAAGAAGGCUGAAACCGCCACCAGACCUGAAGAGGCAGCAUCCGCUAAGAAGGAUGCCGCGAAAUCUGAGGCUAAUGCAAUGCAGUACGGGGCCAUCUCUCAGCAGGCCACCGGCAAAAAUGGUGCCUAAGUGGUGCCUUAAACACCUAUUCACGCGCAACAUCAUCUACAUACUACCAUGCACGCAAAAUAGCAGCAUUGAGAUACCACGUUAUGCUAAUUCUCAUGCAUGCAUGCUUUGUUUAAACGUUCACAUUAUGAAUCAUGUAUUAAUGUCUUGCUUGUUUUAUUUUUAGUAGUAAGACACGCUUGACUUGCUUUAAAAAAAAUACAACAAUCGAUGUAUACAUGUAUCAUCUGAAAAUUAAUAAUAUGAGUUCCACCACAAUUUGUGUCUUUUUGUCAUAUUUUGGGUGCAAUCAAUGCACACAUCCAAUACACAAAAUUGGACGAGUCAAUGUGUUAUGGCUCCAUGGAGCGGCGAAUCAUGUUUUAUUGUCUUGCUUGUUUUACUUUUAGUAGUAACUAG
rnacentral:lncRNA from 1 species